CGCCCGGGGCGCGCCCCGGGCGGGGCGGGGGCACGGGGGGAACGCGAAGAACCUUACCAGGUCUUGACAUCCCUCUGACCGCUCUAGAGAUAGAGUUUUCCUUCGGGACAGAGGUGACAGGUGGUGCAUGGUUAUCGUCAGCUCGUGUCGUGAGAUGUUGGUUAAGUCCCGCAACGAGCGCAACCCCUAUUGUUAGUUGCCAUCAUUCAGUUGGGCACUCAUGAGAGACUGCCGCAGACAAUGCGGAGGAAGGCGGGGAUGACGUCAAAUCAUCAUGCCCCUUAUGACCUGGGCUACACACGUACUACAAUGGGAGUUAAUAGACGGAAGCGAGAUCGCGAGAUGGAGCAAACCCGAGAAACACUCUCUCAGUUCGGAUCGUAGGCUGCAACUCGCCUACGUGAAGUCGGAAUCGCUAGUAAUCGCAGGUCAGCAUACUGCGGUGAAUACGUUCCCGGGCCUUGUACACACCG
rnacentral:rRNA from 1 species